rnacentral:rRNA from 1 species
UCGCGUGAAUGAUGAAGGUCUUAGGAUUGUAAAAUUCUUUCACCGGGGACGAUAAUGACGGUACCCGGAGAAGAAGCCCCGGCUAACUUCGUGCUAGCAGCCGCGGUAAUACGAAGGGGGCUAGCGUUGCUCGGAAUUACUGGGCGUAAAGGGAGCGUAGGCGGACAUUUAAGUCAGGGGUGAAAUCCCGGGGCUCAACCUCGGAAUUGCCUUUGAUACUGGGUGUCUUGAGUAUGAGAGAGGUAUGUGGAACUCCGAGUGUAGAGGUGAAAUUCGUAGAUAUUCGGAAGAACACCAGUGGCGAAGGCGACAUACUGGCUCAUUACUGACGCUGAGGCUCGAAAGCGUGGGGAGCAAACAGGAUUAGAUACCCUGGUAGUCCACGCCGUAAACGAUGAUUGCUAGUUGUCGGGAUGCAUGCAUUUCGGUGACGCAGCUAACGCAUUAAGCAAUCCGCCUGGGGAGUACGGUCGCAAGAUUAAAACUUAAAGGAAUUGACGG